rnacentral:rRNA from 1 species
AACGUAGGUACCGAGCGUUAUCCGGAUUUACUGGGCGUAAAGCGCGUUCAGGCGGUUUGGCAAGUCGGGCAUGAAAUCUCUCGGCUCAACCGGGAGAGGUUGUCCGAUACUUCCAGACUUGAGGGUAGUAGAGGGUGGUGGAAUUCCGGGUGUAGUGGUGAAAUGCGUAGAUAUCUGGAGGAACACCGGUGGCGAAGGCGGCAUCCUGGACCAAUACUGACGCUGAGGAGCGAAAGCCAGGGGAGCAAACGGG